rnacentral:rRNA from 1 species
GCCGAACGGUAACAGGUUAAGCUGACGAGUGGCGAACGGGUGAGUAAUGUAUCGGAACGUGCCCAGUCGUGGGGGAUAACUGCUCGAAAGAGCAGCUAAUACCGCAUACGACCUGAGGGUGAAAGCGGGGGAUCGCAAGACCUCGCGCGAUUGGAGCGGCCGAUAUCAGAUUAGGUAGUUGGUGAGGUAAAGGCUCACCAAGCCGACGAUCUGUAGCUGGUCUGAGAGGACGACCAGCCACACUGGGACUGAGACACGGCCCAGACUCCUACGGGAGGCAGCAGUGGAGAAUUUUGGACAAUGGGCGCAAGCCUGAUCCAGCCAUGCCGCGUGCGGGAAGAAGGCCUUCGGGUUGUAAACCGCUUUUGUCAGGGAAGAAAAGGUUCUGGCUAAUACCUGGGACUCAUGACGGUACCUGAAGAAUAAGCACCGGCUAACUACGUGCCAGCAGCCGCGGUAAUACGUAGGGUGCAAGCGUUAAUCGGAAUUACUGGGCGUAAAGCGUGCGCAGGCGGUUAUGCAAGACAGAGGUGAAAUCCCCGGGCUCAACCUGGGAACUGCCUUUGUGACUGCAUGGCUAGAGUACGGUAGAGGGGGAUGGAAUUCUGCGUGUAGCAGUGAAAUGCGUAGAUAUGCGGAGGAACACCGAUGGCGAAG